rnacentral:lncRNA from 1 species
ACACUUUCCUAAUUGUUGUCCACUUCUCUUCCCCGUAUUGCCUGCCUCUCUCCAUUGAAAAUUGCAUCUACUUCGUCUCCUGCUGUGAGUAUUUCGCACCCUAUCUCUUGAUGAUUCUUGAUGGCUUUGUCGAUACAAGGUAUGAUCUUCUCCCUUUCCUCUUUUGCCAUGUUGUUUCCUUCUAAUCAUUUUCGAUCUAUCUCAGGUCGUCGUGAUUUCUCUCUGUAGAGGUACUUUUGUGGACAAAACCCUCUCUGGUUGCUGUUGUUUUCCUCUAUCUCCAAAUGAAUGACCCCGAUCUUGCUAUCUUCUCUUCUUGGUGGACAUAUUUUACAGCAACGACUAGUCCUAGCUAGACUUCCGUCAUAGCUUCCAUCAUUCAUCGCCCUAACACCGUUUGUUAUGUAUUUAACUUUACCAUAUUUAUCUGCUUCCUCUAUCAAUCUCAUUGUGUGGUUAUCUUUCUUGUUUUAAUUCUGAUGCUUGGUAUUUAAGCUUUAUCCAUGUUUAGUAUUUUCUUCAUGUUGCUGGGUAGUUCUUGAAAUGUAUUGUAUGUCUUUGUGUCUUGUGUUUCCACCAC